rnacentral:rRNA from 1 species
UGCAUGUCUAAGUACAUGCCGCAUUAAGGCGAAACCGCGAAUGGCUCAUUAAAUCAGUUAUGGUUCCAUAGAUCGUACCUUACUACUUGGAUAACUGUGGCAAUUCUAGAGCUAAUACAUGCAGCAGAGCUCUGACUUUUGGGAAAGAGCGCCUUUAUUAGACCCAACCAAUCGGGCCGCCUGUCAAAACGGCGGUCCGCUAGAAACUGUGGCGAAUCUGAGUAACUUUUGGCAGAUCGCACGGGCUCGUCCCGGCGACGUAUCUUUCAAGUGUCUGCCUUAUCAACUGUCGAUGGUAGGUUACGCGCCUACCAUGGUCGUAACGGGUAACGGAGAAUAAGGGUUCGGUUCCGGAGAGGGAGCCUGAGAAACAGCUACCACAUCCAAGGAAGGCAGCAGGCGCGCAAAUUACCCACUCCCAGAACGGGGAGGUAGUGACGAAAAAUAACAAUACGGGACUCUUUUGAGACCCCGUAAUUGGAAUGAGCACAGAUUAAAACCUUGUACGAGGAACAAUUGGAGGGCAAGUCUGGUGCCAGCUGCCGCGGUAAUUCCAGCUCCAAUAGCGUAUAUUAAAGUUGUUGUGGUUAAAAAGCUCGUAGUUGGAUCUGCGUUGGCAUCCAACGGUCCGCCUAACGGCGGCUUACUGUUUUGUGGUGCGAACAGAUAUAGUCGGUUUCUCUUGAUGAUCUUCACCGGUUGUCUUGGGUUUACCGACAUGUUUACUUUGAAAAAAUUAGAGUGCUCAAUGCAGGCGUGACGCCUGAAUAAUGGUGCAUGGAAUAAUGGAAUAGGACCUCGGUUCUAUUUUUGUUGGUGUUCAAUGGACACGAGGUAAUGAUUAAGAGGGACAGACGGGGGCAUUCGUAUUGCGACGCUAGAGGUGAAAUUCUUGGACCGUCGCAAGACGAACUACUGCGAAAGCAUUUGCCAAGAAUGUUUCCGUUAAUCAAGAACGAAAGUUAGAGGCUCGAAGGCGAUCAGAUACCGCCCUAGUUCUAACCAUAAACGAUGCUAGCUAGCGAUCCGGCUGUGUUCCUCAAAUGACACGCUGGGCAGCUUCCGGGAAACCAAAGCUUUUGAGUUCCAGGGGAAGUAUGGUUGCAAAACUCAAACUUAAAGGAAUUGACGGAAGGGCACCACCAGGAGUGGAGUAUGCGGCUUAAUUUGACUCAACACGGGAUAGUCCACCCGAACAGGACACAUGAAGGAUUGACAGAUCAAUAGCUCUUUCUUGAUUCUGUGGGUUGUGGUGCAUGGUCGUUCUUAGUUGGUGGAGCGAUUUGUCUGGUCAAUUCCGAUAACGAACGAGACUCUAGCCUACUAAAUAGACGUUUCCGAUUUCCAUGGUUUGUCGGACGUUUUCCUCUUCUUAGGGGGACAGGCGGUAUUGAACCGCAUGAGAGAGAGCAAUAACAGGUCUGUGAUGCCCUUAGAUGCUCGGGGCUGCACGCGCACUACAUUGAAGGAAUCAGCGUGUGCUCUCCCGGUCCGAAAGGAUUGGGUAACCCAUUGAAACUCCUUCGUGCUUGGGAUUGGAGUUUGGAAUUGUCCUCCAUGAACGAGGAAUUCCUAGUAAUCAUGAGUCAUUAGCUUGUGUUGAAUAAGUCCCUGCCCUUUGUCCACACCGCCCGUCGCUACUACCGAUUGAAUGGUUUAGUGAGGUCUUCGGACUGGCUCUCGGAUUGGUUCCUUCGUGGACCGAGACGGUUGUGCCGGAAAGAUGAUCGAACUUGAUCAUUUAGAGGAAGUAAAAG